UCUACUACGUCCCUGUGCCAUGUGUACGAGCUGGAACGGCUCCUGCAUUUAGCGCCUCAGCCACGAUCCAUCCGGUCAAUGCAGUGGAGAGAAUGGUCUUGCCUCUCCCUCCCAUUAAUUAGUGCUUCAACUAACCUGUCGUGUCCUGCACUUCAGCUGGGAGUCUGACUAACUGAUUAGCAGCAGCGAUGGAGAUAAGCUUCGGGCUGCGAGUCUGUGAGAGAUCAUCCACACAGCUCCAGCCUCCUCCGCUGACCUGCACUGACAGCUGAGUGCCUCAGCAGCCUUCGAGCUGCAGAUCGCUGGACACGGCUACACAAGCAUUGAAAAGCGCAGAUCAAUACAAAAAGGAGAAGCUGAGACCUGUGUCGCGGCCAGUGAAGCGGUGGCUGUGAUAGACAGACUGGCGCUGCUGAUCCCCGGAGACUGUGCCAGCAAGUGUUCUAUAUCAUACUUUUAAGAUCACCCAACAAUUAGCAAUCAGCAAAUUGGAUCGCUGAUCUGUGAAUUGGAUCGGCCAUCCAGGAAUGAGAGAUUUGCCCAAUUGAUGCACAUCCACAGUUCUCUUCUCUCAUAACGGCAAAUGGUCGCCAUGGAAACAUCAAGGACCAGCCUCACUCUCAGGAAAAAAAACAUACAUUUAAGGUGGUGCAUUAUCCAGUCCAUCAACACAGUUCAUAUCCGUAAUGAAGCCAUUUCAAUUUUACAGAUCUCCAGAUGCUUCAGGUGUAUAUUUUUCUGCAGAUCUCCAUAAGCUCCAGGUGUAUAUCUUUCAGCAGAUCUCCAGAAAAUUACAGGUGAUUGGUACAAUGCUAACCUGCAAACAUGAAGACAGGAGUAUUUGCUGCUCAAAUUAAAACAUUUAUAAAAAAUAUAAAAUAAAAUGAUAGUAUUUAGGUGUAAAGGCUACAUUUACAGUUUCCCAUUUUCUGCAUUAACUAUGAUCUACAAGCACGAACGUCAAGCCACAAAUUGGAUCACAGCGAUCAAUCCUAAAUGGAACCAGCCUAAAAGUCACGAUUAUGCUGCAAAGAAGUUUGAGGCCCUUGGACUGGCAAAUGUUAUGAACUCAUUCCCUAAUUUUAGCAUUUGUAGUUUUCAUUUACAUAAGAACACAAGUUCUACAUGAUUUAUAUAAUCGUAUUCCCUUAGGUCAGGCAUUCCCAAACACGGUCCUCAAGGCACACCAACAGUGCAGGUUUUAGUGAUAUAAAGGCUUCAGCACAGAUGGUUAAAUCAAAAUAACUGAGGUACUAAUUAAGUCACCUGUGUUCAAGCCUGGAUAUCACUAAAACCAGGACUGUUAGUGUGCCUUGAGGGCCAAGGUUGGGAAAUACUGCCUUAGGUAUUACACUACAUUAUAAGCGUGGGAUUGCAAGAGAAGCCAUCAUUUUUAUAAUUCUAUUUGGGAUGUUAGUCUGUCUAUAAUAACUUCACUCAGUCUAUACAAAACUUUUGUCACUUUCCCCAGACUAGGUAUCUGCAAUGUUAGCCAACUUCACAUUCCAGAACCACGCACAAAAUCUCCAUAAGCUUUCCUAUCUAAGUACAUCCUCUCUCUACAGUCCACACAUAACUUCACAUACUUUCUCUUUCUAUCUUCACUUUUACAUCCUCCCGACCCUUGGCCGGCAUUGCUGCGUGACUGGCUCAUACAGCCAACCUUGAACCUUUGCUAUAUGGGUGGACUAUUAUGCAAUAGGUAGCACCUAUCCUUGCAUAUCAAUGACUAUUUCCUUCUAGACUGUAAGCUUGCAAGGAAGGUCCUCUUACAUCUUUGGGGGGAAUUCAAUUAACCAAGGUAAUCUACAAAGGGCAGCGGGGCUAUUCAAUUAGGCUCGAAAAGAAGUCAAGGAUAAGUAGCCUAUUUUCAGUUACAGUGACCAUGUUAACACAUAGGUCCGGGAACUUAUUUUGGAUUCUAUGGGUUAACGUCCAUUAACAGUGGAAUUUACUGGGUGAGAAAAAGAGUCUCUAAUUGAACAGCCCUGGGUGUUAAAGCUCGAGACAACCAUCCUUUUCACCCCCGGUAAAUUACCAGGGAUAAUUGAAUUCCCCCCUAUGUCUGUCUGUUAUUACCCAGUCUUGUUUUAUUACUGUUUUUUCCCAAUUGCAAAGCACAAUGGAAUAUGAAUGCGCUAUAUAAGUAAACUGUUAAUAAAUAUGUGUAUACUAUUUAGGUAGAGUAAAUAAUAUGCGGAUCCAACCUUUGCACUAAACA